UUCUGUAUUUCUGAUUUUUUCAAGCCCUCAAAGAAAAGUAAAGUACAAACUCACAGGAUUGGAUAUUGGGGUCUUUCCUCAACAGACCAACAGCAUUGAUUGUGGAGUUUUCAUGCUCAUGUAUGCCCUUUACACUGUGCUGAACACUCCAUUCAAUUUUACUUCG